AGUACCAGAAGGCAAGUGUGAGCCGUCUGUUAUGCCUAGACAGGGCCACCAGAGGGCUCCUUGGUCUAGUGGUAACGCCA
rnacentral:miRNA from 10 species